rnacentral:lncRNA from 1 species
CCAGGACCAUGUAGCAGGACCUCGGGAUUCACUUGUUGCCUCAAUGACUGAACUCUUUCACACCGAAGUGAAAACCACGGAUAAGACAGCACGCUCCUUCUACCUGGAACAUUCCUAUCUCAACCAAAGACCUGGCAGUUCGGCCACAGAGAGUAACUCACCUGAGCUUCUGGGAGAAUUAAAUAACUAAUUCUUAGACAGAGGAUGGCGACAAACAAGAAUAAACUGAAAAUCGCAGACUCUCUAGCAAAAGUGAAGUAAGUGGGUUUUGUGGAUUGUGUCCCCCAAAACGAUAUGUUGAAGUCCUAAUCCCAGGGACUGUCGAUGUGACCUUGUUUGGAAAAGGGGUCUUUGCAGAUGUAAUCAAGUUAAGAUGAGGUCGGACUCAAUCAGGGUGGGCCCUGAAUCCAGUAUGACUGGUGUCUUCAUAAGACGGCCAUGUGAUGACAGAGGCAGAGCUUGGCAUGAUGGGGGUACAAGCCAAGGACUGCCGUCAACUACCAGAAGCUGGAGAGAGGCGUGGAACGGAUUCUCCCUGAGAGCCUUUAGAAGGAACCAAAUUUGCCAACUGCUCGAUUUUUGGCUUCCAGCCUCGAGAACUAAUUGGAAAUACAGUUGUGAACAAGAAAAAACUUCCCCCAUCCCAAAGGAGUACAGUGUCCAGAAAAUCCAAAGCCAGACUACCAGCGCCCAACACAGUCAGCUCACCAUUAUUCUCCUAAGAACUUCUGGUAGCAUUUUCUUCAACGAAAUGCUCCCAAAUGAUGGUGGCACUGCCCUGCUCCCAGGAUGAGAAGCCGAGUGUACUGGAAAAUGCGAAAGAACCUAAAUACAUAUGGAGGCACGCAAUUGGUGGUGGGGGAGACCCGCUGUCCAGUCUGUGAUAGGAGAAAUGGGUUUUUGUAAAGGAUGCC